AAUGUGUGUUUAAAUUCGAUGCAACGCGGAAAAACCUUACCCACCUUUGACAUGUACGGAAUUUGCCAGAGAUUGCUUAGUGCUCGAAAGAGAACCGUGACACAGGUUGCUGCAUGGCUGUCGUCAGCUCGUGUCGUGAGAUGUUGGGUUUAAGUCCCGCAACGAGCGCAACCCUUGUCAUUAGUUGCUACAUUUAGUUGGGCACUCUAAUGAGACUGCCGGUGACAAACCGGAGGAAGGUGGGGAUGACGUCAAGUCCUCAUGGCCCUUAUAGGUGGGGUCUACACACGUCAUACAAUGGCUGGUACAAAGGGUUGCCAACCCGUCGAGGGGGAGCUAAUCCCAUAAUAACCAGUCGUAGUCCGGAUCAGUCAGCUCAUGCGAACUCGACUGUCGGCGCAAGCUCGGUAAUCGCCAUAGUAGAUCGGGUUAAUCUAUGAUAGCUCUAAU
rnacentral:rRNA from 1 species